AGUGAACGCUGGCGGUAGGCCUAACACAUGCAAGUCGAACGGCAGCACAGUAAGAGUUUGCUCUUACGGGUGGCGAGUGGCGGACGGGUGAGGAAUACAUCGGAAUCUACUUUUUCGUGGGGGAUAACGUAGGGAAACUUACGCUACUACCGCAUACGACCUACGGGUGAAAGCAGGGGAUCCUCGCACCUUGCGCGAUUGAAUGAGCCGAUGUCGGAUUAGCUAGUUGGCGGGGUAAAGGCCCACCAAGGCGACGAUACGUAGCUGGUCUGAGAGGAUGAUCAGCCACACUGGAACUGAGACACGGUCCAGACUCCUACGGGAGGCAGCAGUGGGGAAUAUUCGACAAUGGGCGCAAGCCUGAUCCAGCCAUACCGCGUGAGUGAAGAAGGCCUUCGGGUUGUAAAGCCCUUUUAUUGGGAAAGAAAAGCAGCAGAUUAAUACCCCGCUGUUCUGACGGUACCCAAAGAAUAAGCACCGGCUAACUUCGUG
rnacentral:rRNA from 1 species